rnacentral:ncRNA from 2 species
AAGAUCGGGUAGCUAUUCGGUUGUCCGGCCCUGUCGGACAUGAAGAGGGAACCCGGUGCAAAUCCGGGGCUGCCCCCGCAACUGUAAGCGGACAGCACGGCCGGACGCGCCACUGGGGAACACCCCCGGGAAGGUCGGCCAAGCGUCCAUCCGCGAGCCAGGAGACCUGCCGAUAGCGACUUUGGAUG